rnacentral:rRNA from 1 species
GACGAACGCUGGCGGCGCGCCUAACACAUGCAAGUCGAACGAGCGAGAGAGAGCUUGCUUUCUCGAGCGAGUGGCGAACGGGUGAGUAACGCGUGAGGAACCUGCCUCAAAGAGGGGGACAACAGUUGGAAACGACUGCUAAUACCGCAUAAGCCCACGGGUCGGCAUCGACCAGAGGGAAAAGGAGCAAUCCGCUUUGAGAUGGCCUCGCGUCCGAUUAGCUAGUUGGUGAGGUAAUGGCCCACCAAGGCAACGAUCGGUAGCCGGACUGAGAGGUUGAACGGCCACAUUGGGACUGAGACACGGCCCAGACUCCUACGGGAGGCAGCAGUGGGGAAUAUUGCACAAUGGGGGAAACCCUGAUGCAGCGACGCCGCGUGGAGGAAGAAGGUCUUCGGAUUGUAAACUCCUGUUGUUGAGGAAGAUAAUGACGGUACUCAACAAGGAAGUGACGGCUAACUACGUG